UACAUGGGGUGCAAACGUUGCUCGGAAUCAUUGGGCGUAAAGCGCACGUAGGCGGUUCGUUAUGUCGGAUGUGAAAGCCCUCGGCUUAACCGGGGAAGUGCAUCCGAAACUGGCGAGCUUGAGUACUAAAGAGGGUCGCGGAAUUCCCGGUGUAGAGGUGAAAUUCGUAGAUAUCGGGAGGAACACCGGUGGCGAAGGCGGCGACCUGGGUAGAUACUGACGCUGAGGCGCGAAAGCGUGGGGAGCAAACAGG
rnacentral:rRNA from 1 species